ACAUCUUAAGCUGAAUUGGUUAAGCAAUGGCCUUCGGAGCUAUAGGGUAUUGGUUCGAGUCCAAUAAGAUGUU